UUCUUUCCUGUCUUGCUAUUUCCUCCUCUUGACCAGCUGGAUAUUUAUUAAUGUUCACUCUGAUAUUUCCUUGUCCUUGCUUCCAUAGCAAGGAGUCCUAAACUUCGAAACCCUUCUACAUACUUGAAGACAGUAGCCUGACCCCUUUGUCCCUAUGUAUAAACAGCCCAGGAAUCACUAUCUUUGUACUGGGUCAUUACUGGAAUGAUUGGUGGUGACUGGUGAGCCAGGACAGGGCUUGACCAGUGCAUGCCCCCUUAUAUUCCUGAUGCCUUGGACCCUGCCGUAAAGGAAGUUUGGGUUCUUUAAUUGCUUGUGAAUGUCACACUUUGUCCCAAAUCUAAUUCUGAAUAAAGCAGACCAGGUUUGACCUGAA